CAAACAGAACAGUCAUGCCAACUAUUAUGUACAUUUUACUUACACUUCCUCGUUACACGUCCUGCAACAAGGACUCGCACAUGUGCUAACUACCGAAACAAUGUCUGCCUGCCUCUGCAUAUGUGUCUGUAUGUGUGUGUGUGUGCUACUGUAAAUGUGUGAUUUCAAGUCGCGGUAAAAAGCUCAUUACCUUGCUGGUUAUCUGAACAUCUGUUAGUUUGUACUUUUAGCUGGGACUCCCAAUGAAUUCCAACACAUACAACUUUAAGCAAAGAGGUAAAGGGUAAAAGGAGUGAGUGAGUUGGCGAUGUGAGUGAGUGGGAAAGCAAACGCUGGCAACUUUACGAUAGCGUUAAAUUAGACAUCAACUUGGCAAAGUACACACACAGUGACACACACUUGCAGGGCCACAAACAACAAUAUUGAUAGCUCGUCUGAUGCCGUUGGCCCAAGCUUAUCAAAGGCGCUAUGCCAAGUACACUGCAAUUACAGGGUAUGCACACUAGUUGUAUUUGUAUCAUAUACAUUUUAAGCAUUGCAUUUGAAUGAAUUGCGGAACAAUCUUUAAAACUAUUUGAUAGCACAUGAAGCUUUUGAAAUGCAUGCUGGCAUGCGGUGGCACAGAGGCAGGAGCCAGCAGUUCGCAAUCGCUAUCGCCAUCGCAGCGCGUCAUGUUGUUCAACGCCUUGCAGCUUGCUGCAGUCGACAACGUUGCAGCAACACACAGUGGGCGUGGCCCUCCGCCCACGACGACGACGACGACGACGACGGGCGGCACAUGUUAAAGGCCGAAGGGCGGUUGCAGAGUGGGCGUCAUGCGUCUGGCCACCACGCCCACCAUGCUCGUUUACAUGACGCAAUUGCCUGGCAUUCAUAAGCCAUUAUCAGUGCCAAGUCAUCGGGCAAGUCUUAGAGCAAACAAUGCAGCUGCCAUCCAUCAGCCGACUUUGGCCAUAACUACUGUUCCACGGACUUGUGACUUGUGACUUGUGACUUGUGUGGGCCAUAGCUUGUUGUGCAUGGAGCCAUUGCAAUUGCCAUCGCCACUGCUUGCACAGUCUUAUCAUUUCCAGGACGACACAGAUCUCUCGCCAAGAUGUUUGACUUGCGGCAGUUUAUGGCUUUAUAUAUAGUACGGCUGGUAUUCUGAUAUUCUGAUAUUCCGUUCCCAUUCCGGUCCCAUCAAAUUGGCAGCCCACGCAUUCGUACAACUUCAAAUAGCACACUGAGCAGACCGGAAGUAAACGUUUAAUGUGGGACAAAGCAGGUCCAGAG